GGGGAGUAGGCAACUGUUGGUUGGUUGCGGCUGGCUGUAAACCAGUUCUGAGAGGCUCGGGGGUUCGAUUCCCUCACUUCCCAC
rnacentral:tRNA from 1 species